UGGGGAAUUUUCCGCAAUGGGCGCAAGCCUGACGGAGCAAUACCGCGUGAGGGAGGAAGGCUUUUGGGUUGUAAACCUCUUUUCUCAAGGAAGAAGCACUGACGGUACUUGAGGAAUCAGCAUCGGCUAACUCCGUGCCAGCAGCCGCGGUAAUACGGAGGGUGCAAGCGUUAAUCGGAAUUACUGGGCGUAAAGGGCGCGUAGGCGGCUGUUUAAGUCGGGUGUGAAAGCCCCGGGCUCAACCUGGGAAUUGCAUUCGAUACUGGAUGGCUGGAGUGUAGUAGAGGGAAGCGGAAUUCCGGGUGUAGCGGUGAAAUGCGUAGAUAUCCGGAGGAACAUCAGUGGCGAAGGCGGCUUCCUGGACUAACACUGACGCUGAGGCGCGAAAGCGUGGGGAGCAAACAGGAUUAGAUACCCGUGUAGUCC
rnacentral:rRNA from 1 species